rnacentral:rRNA from 1 species
UACGUAGGGUGCAAGCGUUGUCCGGAAUUAUUGGGCGUAAAGAGCUCGUAGGCGGUCUGUCGCGUCUGCUGUGAAAACUCGGGGCUUAACCCCGGGCCUGCAGUGGGUACGGGCAGACUAGAGUGCGGUAGGGGAGACUGGAAUUCCUGGUGUAGCGGUGAAAUGCGCAGAUAUCAGGAGGAACACCGGUGGCGAAGGCGGGUCUCUGGGCCUGCACUGACGCUCAUGCACGAAAGCGUGGGGAGCAAACAGG